CUGACUGUGGACAUCUUCAAAGGUAUCCCUGGGAUGCUGGGACUGUUUGUGGCAGCUCUUUGUAGUGCCUCACUCAGCACUAUUUCCUCUGGGCUGUCCAGUCUGGCGGCCACAGCCUGGGAAGACAUCCUCAAGCAUCACCUGCCAAACCAUUCCGACUUCAAGGCAACACUUGUAGCUAAAGUAGCAGUGAUCAUCUACGGAAUGUUCACCUUUGGCAUAGCGAUUCUCAUAUCAUUGGUUGGUGGAACAUUGUUG